AAGAGGAGGGAACAUUUUAGAAAAACGUUUCCGAUGAACUGCCGCUGAUCGAAGAAGGUGGCAUCACAUAUU
rnacentral:sRNA from 1 species